rnacentral:misc_RNA from 1 species
CCGAGUGUGACCCCCCCCGUAUUUUUUACAAAGGGGGUGCCUCCCGUCCUUUGCGGGCCCCUUUGGGGCUUUCAGACUUUGCUUCGGCGGGGUUGCCCCGCCGGAACACCCUCAAGAAAAAUCUUUCCAACUGUUCAGUCCGAGUGUUACGAAUAAAACA